rnacentral:rRNA from 1 species
UAUCUCUGUAGAGUCUGCAUAUCAAUAAGCGGAGGAAAAGAAACUAACAAGGAUUCCCUUAGUAACGGCGAGUGAAGCGGGAAGAGCUCAAAUUUGAAAUCUUCAAGGUUCUACCUUGACGAAUUGUAGUUUAAAGAAGUGUUUUCUGUUAGAUGAGUAGCAAAAGUUCCUUGGAAUGGGACAUCAUAGAGGGUGAGAAUCCCGUAUUUGGUUAUUCAUUCUAGCUUUGUGAUACACUUUCAAAGAGUCGGAUUGUUUGGGAAUGCAGUCCAAAAUGGGUGGUAAAUUUCAUCUAAAGCUAAAUAUUGGCGAGAGACCGAUAGCGAACAAGUACCGUGAGGGAAAGAUGAAAAGAACUUUGAAAAGAGAGUUAAACAGUACGUGAAAUUGUCAAAAGGGAAGCGUUUGACACCAGUGUUGUUUUUCCGAAAAUCAAUUACAAAGUGCUUGGAUUUUGUGUUGUAUUGACCUUAUCAGCUUUCUGCACUUUUUUCGAGUUUUUCUUAAUGCACUUUUUGGUUAACAAGUCAACAUCAAUUUCUUUUGUUGUAAAAGAGUAUUCGGAAGGUGGCUUUCUUUUCGGAGAGAGUGUUUAUAGCCCUAUACUUCUACAAUCGGAGAGAUUGAGGUCUGCAGCGUAGAUCCUUCGGGGUUAGAUACACUUGUGCUAAGUUGUAGCUUUUCAUAGACAACUUGUUGACUAUGUUUAGUCAUGCGGCUUACUCGCUUGUGCCAUUUUACCUACGCUUAGGAUGUUGACUGAUAUGUAGUCGUA